rnacentral:rRNA from 1 species
AUUGAACGCUGGCGGCAGGCCUAACACAUGCAAGUCGAACGAGUGGCGGACGGGUGAGUAAUGUCUGGGAACCUGCCUGAUGGAGGGGGAUAACUACUGGAAACGGUAGCUAAUACCGCAUACCCUCAGAUGUGCCCAGAUGGGAUUAGCGUGUUGGUGGGGUAACGGCUCACCAAGGCGACGAUCCCUAGCUGGUCUGAGAGGAUGACCAGUAACAAGGGAACGAAGACACGGUCCAGACUCGUACGGGAGGCAGCAGUGGGUAAUAUGGCACAAUGGGCGAAAGCCUGAUGUAGCCAUGCCGCGUGUAUGAAGAAGGCCUUCGGGUUGUAAAGUACUUUCAGCGGGGAGGCGUUACCCGCAGAAGAAGCACCGGCUAACUCCGUGCCAGCAGCCGCGGUAAUAC